UACGAAGGGAGCUAGCGUUGUUCGGAAUCACUGGGCGUAAAGCGCACGUAGGCGGAUGUGUCAGUCAGGGGUGAAAUCCCGGAGCUCAACUUCGGAACUGCCUUUGAUACAGCACGUCUUGAGUCCGGAAGAGGUGGGUGGAAUUCCUAGUGUAGAGGUGAAAUUCGUAGAUAUCAGGAGGAAUACCUAUGGCGAAAGCAGGUAUCUGGGCCAUCACUGACGCUGAGCUGCGAAAGCUAGGGGAGCAAACAGG
rnacentral:rRNA from 1 species